rnacentral:rRNA from 1 species
GAUGAACGCUGGCGGCGUUCUUAACACAUGCAAGUCGAACGAAGCAUUUAUGAAGAAGCAGUUCGGUGUAGAUUGAUGACUGACGGAGUGGCGGACGGGUGAGUAACCCGUGGAUAACCUGCCUCAUACAGGGGGAUAACAGUUAGAAAUGACUGUUAAUACCGCAUAAGCGCACAGAAUAGCAUGAUUCAGUGUGAAAAACUCCGGUGGUUUGAGAUGGUUCCGAGUCUGAUGAGCUAGUUGGUGGGGUAACGGGCAACCAAGGCAACGAUCAGUAGCCGGCCUGAGAGGGCGACCGGCCACAUUGGGGCUGAGACACGGCCCAAACUACUACGGGAGGCAGCAGUGGGGAAUAUUGCACAAUGGGGGAAACCCUGAUGCAGCGACACCGCGUGAGCGAAGAAGUAUUUCGGUAUGUAAAGCUCUAUCAGCAGGGAAGAAAAUGACGGUACAUGACUAAGAAGCCCCGGCUAACUACGUGCCAGCCGCCGCCGUAACAC